UGCGGAGGGUGUAGAGUGUCCUGUGAGCUUCUUCUCAAGAAAAUUUAACAAGCAUCAAUACAACUAUUCAGUGAUUGAGAAGGAGGCUUUGGCACUUGUUUGGGCUCUGCAGCAUUUUGAUGUCUAUGUCGGCUCAGGGUUAUCUCCGCUGACUGUCUUCACUGACCAUAACCCCCUCACCUUCUUGAAGUCACUGCAAAAUCCUAAUCAGAGGCUAAUGAGGCUGCUGGGUUGGUGAGGAUGGAGGGAUGUGCUGGAGGAUGCAGCCUGGGGGGAGUGCAGUACUGACUGUCAGUUAUUGGUAACGUAUGAACCAUGACAGAUUGGAACAUAUUGACACUUAUUUGAUGUAUAACACGAGGUGGAACCUCGUUCUUAUGGAGGGGGGUGUGACGACCCCUCCCUUUCUGCUAGCAUCAUGCAGCUGAUUACUUCCUUCAGGAGUUGGCAGAAAGGGAGGGUCGUUAGGGCAAGGUGCUCACACCUGGCUAGGCCUCUACCCAAGGUGAUAUAAGCCAGCCUGGUCUCAUUGUCUCUCUCUCUCUCCUAGCCUCCACGCCGCUACAGGUUCUUGGUUCUUGGUUCUUUUUGGCGUCUUCCUUGUACACUCAACACCAGCACACACAUCUCACUCAUCCAUACACUACAUUCACCACUGAUGCCACUACUCUCCACACCUCAUGCUUUUUGUACAUAUAAUUGUUCAAGUUAUAAUAAAACCUUUUCAUUUAGCACUUUCAA